AACGCUAGCUACAGGCUUAACACAUGCAAGUCGAGGGGCAGCAUGAACUUAGCUUGCUAAGUUUGAUGGCGACCGGCGCACGGGUGAGUAACACGUAUCCAACCUUCCGUUUACUCAGGGAUAGCCUUUCGAAAGAAAGAUUAAUACCUGAUAGUAUGGUGAGAUUGCAUGAUGGCACCAUUAAAGAUUUAUUGGUAAACGAUGGGGAUGCGUUCCAUUAGGUAGUAGGCGGGGUAACGGCCCACCUAGCCGACGAUGGAUAGGGGUUCUGAGAGGAAGGUCCCCCACAUUGGAACUGAGACACGGUCCAAACUCCUACGGGAGGCAGCAGUGAGGAAUAUUGGUCAAUGGGCGAGAGCCUGAACCAGCCAAGUAGCGUGAAGGAUGAAGGUCCUACGGAUUGUAAACUUCUUUUAUACGGGAAUAAAGUAUCCUACGUGUAGGAUUUUGUAUGUACCGUAUGAAUAAGCAUCGGCUAACUCCGUGCCAGCAGCCGCGGUAAUACGGAGGAUGCGAGCGUUAUCCGGAUUUAUUGGGUUUAAAGGGAGCGCAGACGGGAGAUUAAGUCAGUUGUGAAAGUUUGCGGCUCAACCGUAAAAUUGCAGUUGAUACUGGUUUUCUUGAGUGCAGUUGAGGCAGGCGGAAUUCGUGGUGUAGCGGUGAAAUGCUUAGAUAUCACGAAGAACUCCGAUUG
rnacentral:rRNA from 1 species